GCCCCGGUAGCUCAGUGGUAGGGCUCCUUUAUGGGGUGAGCGAAAGCUCCUAGCAAUAACUACGACGCGGUCGCAGGUUCAAAUCCUGCCUGAUGGUUA